UACGAAGGGGGCUAGCGUUGUUCGGAAUUACUGGGCGUAAAGCGCACGUAGGCGGAUCGAUCAGUCAGGGGUGAAAUCCCAGGGCUCAACCCUGGAACUGCUUUGAUACUGUCGAUCUGGAGUAUGGAAGAGGUGAGUGGAAUUCCGGGUGUAGAGGUGAAAUUCGUAGAUAUUCGGAGGAACACCAGUGGCGAAGGCGGCUCACUGGUCCAUUACUGACGCUGAGGUGCGAAAGCGUGGGGAGCAAACAGG
rnacentral:rRNA from 1 species